UACGUAGGGCGCAAGCGUUGUCCGGAAUUAUUGGGCGUAAAGAGCUCGUAGGCGGCUUGUCACGUCGGUUGUGAAAGCCCGGGGCUUAACCCCCGGGUCUGCAGUCGAUACGGGCAGGCGUAGAUGUGGUAGGGGGAGAUCGGAAUUCCUGGUGUAGCGGUGAAAUGCGCAGAUAUCAGGAGGAACACCGGUGGCGAAGGCGGAUCUCUGGGCCAUUACUGACGCUGAGGAGCGAAAGCGUGGGGAGCGAACAGG
rnacentral:rRNA from 1 species